UACAGAGGUCUCAAGCGUUGUUCGGAUUCAUUGGGCGUAAAGGGUGCGUAGGCGGCGCGGUAAGUCGGGUGUGAAAUCUCGGAGCUUAACUCCGAAGCUGCAUUCGAUACUACCGUGCUUGAGGACUGGAGAGGAGACUGGAAUUUACGGUGUAGCGGUGAAAUGCGUAGAUAUCGUAAGGAAGACCAGUGGCGAAGGCGGGUCUCUGGACAGUUCCUGACGCUGAGGCACGAAGGCCAGGGGAGCAAACGGG
rnacentral:rRNA from 1 species